GGUCCAUGGGUGCUCUUGUGCGUAAUCAGGACACCGCCCUUUCACGGCGGUAACAGGGGUUCGAGUCCCCUAGGGGACGCCA
rnacentral:tRNA from 1 species